ensembl:lncRNA
GUGAUCUCUGGGGUACCAUGUUGAUUGUGACUCCACUAGGGACCACCACAAACCACCCCAUCUUCCAGGCCUGGCCUACAUCAUUUGGUGAAAAACAGUCAUAAUGCUACAGGAGGAAAAUAUAUCCCGUUGUAAGUGAAGGUGGUUUUGUAUUGUCUGAUUUCCAUUCUUUACCCCUUCACUGUGCGUCAAUCAGUUUAUAUCAUAGGAUUCGUAUUCAUUUUAUGCCUUUUAUUUACGCACCAGUUCUUUUGCAAGUAAUUUUAAUUCUCCCUUUUAUGAGAGUGAGGCUCUGUGUCUGUGUACUUCUGUAUAAAAUAAAGGAAAUGAUUGUUUUUAAUGCAGAAUUGAAAGAAAUAUAAUGGAUUUCAGCUACAACAAUUUCUCCCCAUUUAGAGGAGAUGAACACCUAGUUAGAUGAAGAACGUCAUUCCUAGUAUAAUUUGAAUACAUCCUGUUUCCAUGACAACUUGUACUUACCAGCUUGCCUGGCAAAAGAAGUGUUUGGAUCCUUUCUUUGAUAAAAGCUUUGACCAAACACUGGAGUUCCUUUUUUUUAAAAUUCCAAUAAUUUCAUUCCAGUUUGGGGCUGUUUUUCUUUUGAACAUGGGCUGCUUUUGAGUGAAAGAAACCUAAAAGGCAUUUUGGAAUAACAUCACCUUCAAAAUAAAAGGAGGGGAUUCACAGGCCAAAUGCUAAUAAGCAUUGGAACUGAAGAUAUUUUUGCAAAUCAUAAUUAUUUUCUCAUCUUUCAGCUAAAUUAAAUCAACAGAGAUGAUGUAACAACUUAUUAAGAUGCUAUUUGAUUUGAUAGAGAAUGAUUCAGUUAUUCAUUUCCAUCUGGACAUUAUAAUCAUUAGGCUUGUUUCCUCACUGCUAAUGUAUGUCUUGCCUUUAUGGGUGAUUUGUGCCCUCUUACUACUAAAUUUUGAUUCUUGGCAAGGAGUAUGGUCUUAUUAAUGGUUUUCCUUCAGAAGAAAGAUAGGAAAUUAUUUGCAUCAUUAACUCUGCUUUUGCAAAAUAUGAAAAAAAUCCUACUAUAUUUUGUUGACAAGAUUAUGUUUCAUGCAGUAUAAAAGAUGACUCUUGGACAUUUUAGGAAUGAUAGAGAAUCAACUCAAAGUUAAAAUAAUCCAGAGUUUAGUUCUGAGGGUUCUGGAAGUUUUUGAAAGGAGAAACAUUAUUCUUAAUUAUCUCCAAGAUCAUUGUCAAUGAUGGUGAACAUUUAUGACACAAGACAUACAUGUAAGGUGAUCUCUGGGGUACCNNNNNNNNNNNNNNNNNNNNNNNNNNNNNNNNNNNNNNNNNNNNNNNNNNNNNNNNNNNNNNNNNNNNNNNNNNNNNNNNNNNNNNNNNNNNNNNNNNNGUGAACAUUUAUGACACAAGACAUACAUGUAAGGUGAUCUCUGGGGUACCAUGUUGAUUCUGACUCCACUAGGGACCAAAUUUUGUAACAGACUUUGUGUAAAUAAUAUGUGCAUAUCCUUCACUUCCCAGGAAAAGACACCAUUUUAUCAUAAAAACUAAAUAAAUUUUUAAAGAAGUACCACAAUAUACAAAUUAGUAUUAGGUACAUAAUAUGUACCAAAUGAAAAUCAAUAAGAAAAAGUAAAAAAAAUUGACAAUAUCUUUCUGUUUUGGGAGCGUGGAAUUCCUGCUCAUGGUAAGAGAUUAAGUACCUGCAAGAUGUCAUUAGCCUAAAAUAUUGUUCAAAAGCAUCUUCAUGAUUCCUAAUGUAGCGCUUUGCACAGUAGUUAUUGUUCUAAAAAAUUGAUGCAGUUACACAUUUUUUAAAGGAAAACAAAUAAUGUAAUUUCAUUUCAGAAAUUGCUUUCUUUUUCUUUUCUAAUCACCUAUUAGUUGAUAAUAGCUUUUCAAAUUUUAGACUGCUCAGCUCUUAAGUAGUAAAUUACAUAAAAUAUUUCAUGAAAGUUUUAAUCAUACAGGGAUUCAUCAUCCCACUAUUUAUUAAGGACCUGCAACUUUAGCCACCUUUUGUGAAGACCACAGAGGUGGACUUUCCACCCUCAAGGAACUUAGGUUAAUAUAGAAAGUGAGGGUAUCAGUGAUCAUUUGUGGGGGGAGGUUGUUGUUUUUAAAUAUAUAUAUAUAUAUAUAUUUAUUUUAUGUAUUUGGCUGCACUAGGUCUUAGUUGGGCCACACGGGAUCUUUUUAGUCCCAGCAUGCCAGAUCUUUGGUUGUGGCCUGUGGGAUCUACUUUCCUGACCAGGGCUUGAACCUGGGCCCCCUGCAAUGAGAGUGUGGAGUCUUAGCCACUGGACUACCAAGGAAGUUACCAGGUGGUCAUUUUAUAACAUGGCUCAUCAUCUUCUAAUAGUUUGCUGAGGAAGUUGAUGUUUUCUAUAUCAGA